GACACGGUCCAAACUCCUACGGGAGGCAGCAGUGAGGAAUAUUGGUCAAUGGACGGAAGUCUGAACCAGCCAAGUAGCGUGCAGGAUGACGGCCCUCUGGGUUGUAAACUGCUUUUAGUUGGGAAUAAAGUGCGGUACGUGUACCGUUUUGUAUGUACCAUCAGAAAAAGGACCGGCUAAUUCCGUGCCAGCAGCCGCGGUAAUACGGAAGGUCCAGGCGUUAUCCGGAUUUAUUGGGUUUAAAGGGAGCGCAGGCGGACUCUUAAGUCAGUUGUGAAAUACGGCGGCUCAACCGUCGGACUGCAGUUGAUACUGGGAGUCUUGAGUACACGCAGAGAUACUGGAAUUCAUGGUGUAGCGGUGAAAUGCUCAGAUAUCAUGAGGAACUCCGAUCGCGAAGGCAGGUAUCUGGAGUGUAACUGACGCUGAGGCUCGAAAGUGCGGGUAUCAAACAGGAUUAGAUACCCUGGUAGUCCGCACAGUAAACGAUGAAUACUCGCGGUUGGCGAUAUACAGUCAGCCGCCAAGCGAAAGCGUUAAGUAUUCCACCUGGGGAGUACGCCGGCAACGGUGAAACUCAAAGGAAUUGACGGGGGCCCGCACAAGCGGAGGAACAUGUGGUUUAAUUCGAUGAUACGCGAGGAACCUUACCCGGGCUUGAACUGCCAGUGACGCAUGCAGAGACGCAUGUUUCUUCGGACACUGGCGGAGGUGCUGCAUGGUUGUCGUCAGCUCGUGCCGUGAGGUGUCGGCUUAAGUGCCAUAACGAGCGCAACCCUUAUCUUUAGUUACUAACAGGUGAUGCUGAGGACUCUAGAGAGACUGCCGUCGUAAGAUGUGAGGAAGGUGGGGAUGACGUCAAAUCAGCACGGCCCUUACAUCCGGGGCGACACACGUGUUACAAUGGCAUGGACAAAGGGCAGCUACCUGGCGACAGGAUGCUAAUCUCCAAACCAUGUCUCAGUUCGGAUCGGAGUCUGCAACUCGACUCCGUGAAGCUGGAUUCGCUAGUAAUCGCGCAUCAGCCAUGGCGCGGUGAAUACGUUCCCGGGCCUUGUACACACCGCCCGUCAAGCCAUGGGAGCCGGGGGUACCUGAAGUCCGUAACCGCGAGGAGCGCCCUAGGGUAAAACUGGUGACUGGGGCUAAGUCGUAACAAGGUAGCCGUACCGGAAGGUGCGGCUG
rnacentral:rRNA from 1 species